ACUCCACAGGUGCUUUAACAGAAAAAUAGAUGCUCACCUGCAUUUAUGGAAGACACGGUAACAAAGAGAAAACAUAGUGGCUGUUUCUUAUGCCUCACAAUAUUGAACAGGAUAACCUACUAUUUGACUAAAAAUUAGACAAGAGUUUUGAGCUGCUAAUUCUGUAAAGUUCUAUAUGAUUGUAAGAGAGAAUAAAAGGAAUAUUUAGAAGUCCCUUAUCUGCAAACAGCAGUAAAACUGAAGUGCCAGUCUUCUCAUAUAAUUGAAAACUACAAAUGGGCAGAUAAAGUCAGCUUUUCCAAAUUGAACAGCUACCUAUUGAAUAAUAUGAUUCAGAUUCAUUCAGAGACAGCCCAUUCCAGUCUCACAUUGCCUCAUAGAAAGAAGAACAUGUAUAAGACAGACAUACCAAGCCAGGCAAUCUCUCAAAUUGAAAGUUCAACUAUUUAGUACAUGACGACCAUAAAAGAAUGAAAUAUACAUUUUGAAGAGGUAUUCAAAAAGCACACAUUACAUUUCUGCACCUCUCUCCGAAACUAAAGUCUUACAGGUACAGCAAACUAUUUGCAGCAGGAGAGCAACAAAGUCACUUUUCUACUGUAAGCCAAAAGGACUUUAGCAAGUUGUAGGAAAGAAACUUACAGAUUUAGGAUCAAUGGAUAUCCCAGACAAUGACGCCCCAGCAAUUCUAAAAGACACCUACAAUCAUGCAAAC
rnacentral:lncRNA from 1 species